rnacentral:rRNA from 1 species
AGAACAGGCUAAUUUGCGCAAGAGUGUACAAAAUGAGUGCGCGGUUUGGCACCUCGAUGUCGGCUUAACUUAUCCUCAUGGAUGCAGGAACUAUGUAGGGUGCGACUGUUCGUCGAUUAAAAAGUUACAUGAGCUGGGUAAAGUCGUCGUGAGACAGUAUGGUUUCUAUCUUCUAGAGGGAAUUAGAAUAAAAUAAGAACAAACUUUUGUACGCAAGGAACAAGAAGAGUUUAACUCAUAAGGUUAAAAUAUGGUUACUAACCUAUGGUUUACCUGUUGUUUAUGUGCCUAAAUAUUAAAUAUAUAUAUGCUUUUGUAUAUAUAUAUCUUCUGUAUUAUUAUACAUAGGGAUGUUUCUUUUACUAAGACAAAUGUAUAGCAUAAGCACGGCAGGAACGCUAAGUUAGUUAAAGAUAAGUGCUGAAAGCAUAUAGGCACGAAACUUAUCUUAAGAUAUUUCUUAAAUAUACGUAAUAUACUAUUACGAAAUUUAUAGGCUUUAUCCGUACGAAUCUUGAGAUUUUAAAGAAUAAAGUACUAAUUUAAUAAUUCACUAUUUAUAAAUAUAUCU